GAUGAACGCUGGCGGCGUGCCUAAUACAUGCAAGUCGAGCGAACAGACGAGAGUGCUUGCACUCUCUGACGUUAGCGGCGGACGGGUGAGUAACACGUGGGUAACCUACCUAUAAGACUGGGAUAACUUCGGGAAACCGGAGCUAAUACCGGAUAAUAUUUAGCUUCGCAUGAAGCAAUAGUGAAAGACGGUUCUGCUGUCACUUAUAGAUGGACCCGCGGUGUAUUAGCUAGUUGGUGAGGUAACGGCUCACCAAGGCAACGAUACAUAGCCGACCUGAGAGGGUGAUCGGCCACACUGGGACUGAGACACGGCCCAGACCCCUACGGGAGGCAGCAGUAGGGGAUCUUCCGCAAUGGACGAAAGUCUGACGGAGCAAUGCCGCGUGAGUGAAGAAGGUUUUCGGAUCGUAAAACUCUGUUGUAAGGGAAGAACAAGUACGUUAGUAACUGAACGUACCUUGACGGUACCUUACCAGAAAGCCACGGCUAACUACGUG
rnacentral:rRNA from 1 species